ACGCUGGCGGCAGGCCUAACACAUGCAAGUCGAGCGGUAGAGAGGAGCUUGCUUCUCUUGAGAGCGGCGGACGGGUGAGUAAUGCCUAGGAAUCUGCCUGGUAGUGGGGGAUAACGUUCGGAAACGGACGCUAAUACCGCAUACGUCCUACGGGAGAAAGCAGGGGACCUUCGGGCCUUGCGCUAUCAGAUGAGCCUAGGUCGGAUUAGCUAGUUGGUGAGGUAAUGGCUCACCAAGGCGACGAUCCGUAACUGGUCUGAGAGGAUGAUCAGUCACACCGGAACUGAGACACGGUCCAGACUCCUACGGGAGGCAGCAGUGGGGAAUAUUGGACAAUGGGCGAAAGCCUGAUCCAGCCAUGCCGCGUGUGUGAAGAAGGUCUUCGGGAUUGUAAAGCACUUUAAGUUGGGAGGAAGGGCAGUUACCUAAUACGUGAUUGUUUUGACGUUACCGACAGAAUAAGCACCGGCUAACUCUGUGCCAGCAGCCGCGGUAAUACAGAGGGUGCAAGCGUUAAUCGGAAUUACUGGGCGUAAAGCGCGCGUAGGUGGUUUGUUAAGUUGGAUGUGAAAUCCCCGGGCUCAACCUGGGAACUGCAUUCAAAACUGACUGACUAGAGUAUGGUAGAGGGUGGUGGAAUUUCCUGUGUAGCGGUGAAAUGCGUAGAUAUAGGAAGGAACACCAGUGGCGAAGGCGACCACCUGGACUGAUACUGACACUGAGGUGCGAAAGCGUGGGGAGCAAAC
rnacentral:rRNA from 1 species